rnacentral:rRNA from 1 species
GACGAACGCUGGCGGCGUGCCUAACACAUGCAAGUCGAACGGAAAGGCCCGGCUUUUGUGGGGUUCUCGAGUGGCGAGCGCGUGUGUAACACGCGAGUAACCUGCCCCUGACUGUGGGAUAACUUCAGGAAACUGGGGCUAAUACCCGAUAUGAGCUCUUGCAGCACGGUGGUGAUUGGAAAGUGUCGGCGGUGGUGGAUGGACUCGCGGGUUAUCAGCUUGUUGGUGGGGUAGUUGCUUACCAAGGCUUUGACGGGUAGCCGGCCUGAGAGGGUGACCGGGCACAUUGGGCCUGAGAUAGGGACCAGAGUGCAACGGGGGGCAGCGGUGGGAAAUAUUGCACAAUGGGCGGAAGCGUGUUACAGAAAUGCCGGGUGCGGGAUGACGGCCUUCGGGUGAUAAACCGCUUUCGACUGUGACGAAGCGUGAGUGACGGUAAUGGGUAAAGAAGCACCGGCUAACUACGUG